AGGAGCCCGUGAAAGUAAAUUGGCAUUCCUGGCUCCCAUAAUCUCCAAUGGGCCUUCAAGCCUCUCCCAUUAUUUCUAAUGGGCAAUCCUCCUGUCAUUCCUUUUAGUACACCCCUCCAAAGGGGGACUAGGCAGAGCUGGCCUGUGAUCCUGGAAGUCGAGCGCACAUGGAGAAGCCCGUCCUGGGCCCACGGUAGCAGCGGCCGAGGGGGGGCUUUGUCAUCUGCCAGGAACAUGUUCCCGUGGUGGUAGAACAUGAGGUUUUGUCACGGUUUGCUGAGUACCAUCAUCAAGAUGCCUCUUCGUUCACUAAGACAGAGAUAACAUGAGUAUCUUGAUGGAGUGGAUGGCAGACUUCAGAUGUAUUCAGACAUCUGACUGCCGCAUUCUUCCUGCUUACAACAGUGAAAGCAACACUUGGCGUGUGAGGUUAGCGAGAAGAGAUUUGACAGAACCGUUGUUGCUUCAUGAGUGAACUUAAUUUGUGACAUUAAAAGAAUAUGUUUAUUGCGGCUGGAUAUAGUUUCUGUAGCAGGAUGUUGAGAAUUGUUCAACUUCAGCAUUACCUAUCCUAAGAGAAUUUCCCCUCCCCAAAACAAGGCAUGAAAAAAUGACUUGCUGACUGUACACUUUGUCCAAUUUAACACAUUCAUAGUCCAAGUACAUCUUGGUUUUGAGUGAAAAUUAGAUCAUAGAGGAUGUGAGAAUAGUGUACCCUUAUCUCAAUUUCUUCAUCUCUCCCAGCCCUUCCCACCAACUUUCCAUAUCUUGGUUUCAGGCCAUUGGUUGUAUUUUUGUAAAAUUCUGGUAUAGAAGGGCUUGCAAUAGCAGAAAAUGAUUCUGCAUUAUUCUUAUCUAUUGAAUCGA